rnacentral:rRNA from 1 species
AGCUCCAAUAGCGUAUAUUAAAGUUGUUGCGGUUAAAAAGCCAGGGGGCGUUUCGCUCCAAAGCGUGACUGCCCCAUUUGGCUGUGUGAUUGGCGGAGGUUCCGGGGUGCUCUUCGUUGAGUGUCCCGGUGCGCCGUCAGGUUUACUUUGAAAAAAUUAGAGUGCUCAAAGCAGGCUUUUCAGGCUUGAAUAUUCGUGCAUGGAAUAAUGGAAUAGGAACUCGUUCCUAUUUUGUUGGUUUUCGGGAAUCGAGUUAAUGAUUAAUAGGGACAAUUGGGGGCAUUAGUAUUCAAACGACAGAGGUGAAAUUCUUGGACCGUUUGAAGACUAACUACUGCGAAAGCAUUUGCCAAGAGUGUUUUCA